rnacentral:rRNA from 1 species
UACGUAGGGGGCUAGCGUUGUUCGGAAUCACUGGGCGUAAAGGGCGCGUAGGCGGCCGAUCAAGUCGGGGGUGAAAGCCUGUGGCUCAACCACAGAAUGGCCUUCGAUACUGGUUGGCUCGAGACCGGAAGAGGUGAGUGGAACUGCGAGUGUAGAGGUGAAAUUCGUAGAUAUUCGCAAGAACACCAGUGGCGAAGGCGGCUCACUGGCCCGGUACUGACGCUGAGGUGCGAAAGCGUGGGGAGCAAACAGG